rnacentral:lncRNA from 1 species
UUAAUUAGUGUGAUUUAGUGGGAUGUGGGUAGUUGAAUUAAUCCCUUAAACCACUCCCUUUUUUGCUGUCCAUCAUUCCCACUCCUUUAUUUCACGUUUCUUUUGUUUUUUUCUUUUUUUUUUCUUCUCGAGUUUCAUUUUUUCUUUCUUUUUGUUUUGUUUUGCUGCUAUUAAGUUGUUGUAAUAGGCCCAAUUUGCCCGGCCCGUUAGCAAAAUAAACCAAACAGAAAAUUAAUAACAGUCCAAAAUAGUCCAUUUACGUAGCCCAAAUCAAUUAACCUAGCCCAAGCCUAAACCCAACUACACCUGGCCCAAUUACUAUGUGGCCC